rnacentral:miRNA from 1 species
UGAACGCAAAUGAACAUGUUC